rnacentral:rRNA from 1 species
CUGCCCAAGAGACUGGGAUAACACCUGGAAACAGAUGCUAAUACCGGAUAACAACACUAGACGCAUGUCUAGAGUUUGAAAGAUGGUUCUGCUAUCACUCUUGGAUGGACCUGCGGUGCAUUAGCUAGUUGGUAAGGUAACGGCUUACCAAGGCAAUGAUGCAUAGCCGAGUUGAGAGACUGAUCGGCCACAUUGGGACUGAGACACGGCCCAAACUCCUACGGGAGGCAGCAGUAGGGAAUCUUCCACAAUGGACGAAAGUCUGAUGGAGCAACGCCGCGUGAGUGAAGAAGGGUUUCGGCUCGUAAAGCUCUGUUGGUAGUGAAGAAAGAUAGAGGUAGUAACUGGCCUUUAUUUGACGGUAAUUACUUAGAAAGUCACGGCUAACUACGUGCCAGCAGCCGCGGUAAUACGUAGGUGGCAAGCGUUGUCCGGAUUUAUUGGGCGUAAAGCGAGUGCAGGCGGUUCAAUAAGUCUGAUGUGAAAGCCUUCGGCUCAACCGGAGAAUUGCAUCGGAAACUGUUGAACUUGAGUGCAGAAGAGGAGAGUGGAACUCCAUGUGUAGCGGUGGAAUGCGUAGAUAUAUGGAAGAACACCAGUGGCGAAGGCGGCUCUCUGGUCUGCAACUGACGCUGAGGCUCGAAAGCAUGGGUAGCGAACAGGAUUAGAUACCCUGGUAGUCCAUGCCGUAAAC